CUACGGGCUACGGCACGUGAAGCGGCCAGCGGCUUGUUGUCUUGUUUGUCGCCAUGGCAACCGCGGAAGCCGCGGCGUGGUGGUUUCGCGUGUCUUGCUUGUCAAGUUUUGCGCGUCUUGCGGACGAACGCAUUUCACCUCUCUCCUGAACGCUCUAGAAGCCACUCCGUUAACCGAGGCGCUUGACAUGCCGACGGAAACGAUUUGGGAUGCUGCAGUGCGACUCAGUAAAGAGGCCGAGAAGAAUGGUACCUCAAAGAAUUUUGAGACUACACUUCUUGUUGUUGGCAAUAAGCAGAGUGGGAAGACAACACUUCUACAUCGUUUCCUGGACAAGACAGACACGCCCAAGCCAUCGCUAGCUCUCGAGUACAUGUUUGGACGACGGUCACAUGGUGCUGGUGUGCUCAAAGACAUCUGCCACAUAUGGGAGCUGGCUGGAGGUGCGUUUGCCACAGACCUGUUGGAAAUCCCAAUUACCAUGGAAACGCUUCAGUCAUUGUCAGUCGUCGUGGUGUUAGACUUGUCUGCUCCUGAGGUCCUAUGCAUCCUGUUCGAGACGUUACUCAAGGCGCUGCAGUCCCGAAUUGACCGAGUUCUUGACACCGCUCUGAAGAAUGAUGCGGGCAUAAAUGAAGCAAUUCACGAAGCCACCUUGUCUCGGCUACCAGAUGAGCACCCCGACAAGAAGGCAAUGACACCAUUCCCUGUACCACUACUGAUUCUCGGCUCCAAGUACGACAUCUUUCAGAACUAUGAGCCCGAGAAGAGGAAAGUGACCUGCCGCUACCUCCGGCACGUAGCUCACGCCAACGGGGCAUCCCUUCUAUUCACGAGCUCCAAGAACGAGUCCCUCAUCUCAAGGCUUAAGACGAGCCUGGCGUACCUGGCCUUUGGUUCCGGCUCGGGCCCCAGUAAGGCAUCACACACGGAUUAUAACAAGCCCUUGCACAUUACGUUUGGGGAAGAUUCCUUUGAGAAGAUCGAUGGUUCCACGCCAGCCAGUUCAACUCAGGUUUCAAAGAACAGAAAAUGACCAUUCCAGAAGACCCCAGCCGUGACCCAAAGUUCAAGGAAAAGGACAUUGAUGUCAUGAAAGCACAGAAGGAAGCUGAAUUGGCCGAACUCCGUAAGAGGCGCCAGGAAGAAGAAAGAGCAAAGGAACUUCCUGACUUUGACUAGGCAGACUCUGUGGGUGACCUGGGGUCACAUUUUGCAAUCAUCCGUGUCGUUUUUAAUUAAUUUCUUAACUGUGACGCCAAGAGACCCAUCGCAGUGACUUGAUCAGUGGCUAUGGGGUUGUGCUGCCGAUUCUCAGCUGUGGCAUUUGCAGCUGUGGCAUUUCAGCUGUGGCAAAUUCAGUAACACUUGUUUACUGUGGUUUGUGUUAAAGAGCCCCCUGUUGGUCAAAGUAAAUCUGGAGCUCCACACGCUAUGGCGUUUCUCAUAGUUCCUAUGUUGCUUUCGAUGUUUACCCCGUAGUUAUCAACUUGACAUUGCGUGCCCAAUCUCAGUGAUAACAGCGGUGUGAUGGGGUCCAAGUCUACAACGAAGGGCAGAAGAAAU
rnacentral:misc_RNA from 1 species